rnacentral:lncRNA from 1 species
UUUUUCUAAUUUUUCUUUGUUUUUUUCUUUUGUGAUGAAAAAAGUUAGUGUUUUGUUGAAGUUGGGAGAUGGGAAAGAGGAGAGAAGUUGAGCAUUGUGGGAAAAUUUGGGAGGGAGAGUGAAUGUGGGGAGGAGAAAGAAAGAGUCAGAAUGUUGAGGAGAGAGAAACAAAAAUAGAGAGAGAGAGAGGUAGUUAGUUGGCGGUUAAGAAGGCGAAAGAUUUUGGGAAUGUUAGGACAAGGUGGUUUCGUUUUAAAACUGAGACUGUAGUCUAAUAUUUAUUAUAAUUAUAUUACUAUAUAAUAGUAUUAUUUAAAUAAAUAAAUUUCUUGUAUGUGUAUUUAAAAUUUUAAAUGAUUUUUUGUAAAUGCUAAGUAAAGAUAUAUAGUAUUGAAAUAUAAGAUGAAAUGGAGUAUUAUCAGUGGUCUUGUGUUCCAAUCUAUGUUGCAUAGGUACGGAGGUGCGGAUACGGGGGCGAUACGAUACGAGUACGGGGAUACGAGUUUUUAAAAAUUAUAUGGUGCGAUUCGGCAAUGAUACAUCUAAUUAUUAAAAUUUUAUGAUAUAUAAUGCUUAUAAAAUAUAUGCAAUUUAAAUUUUCUUAAAUUAAUUAUAUGUAAUUUGCAUUUUAUUUUACCCAAUAAUUAAGCAUUUUCAAUUAUAUAAGUUAAUUGAGCAACAAUAUAACGAUUUAAAUAUUAUUAGUCCAAUAUAUAAGUCAUAACUUAAAAUAAAAUUAUCAAAAUAACCUUAUAUCUACACCUUUCAUGCAUGAGAUACGUGAAUUUCGCCUAUGGAAUUUGCGAAUCCAGUUUAUUUUUAUAAAUUGUUUUAAAAGAUACGCCACGUGGCGAAUCGGGUGCGAAUCCGACGAGAAUCGCACCCUAAAAGAAUCCGAUUCGCCGUACAUACUAAUUUUUGAAGAAUCCGUGCAUCAUAGGUUCCAAUUCAUAAUUCGUUUUGUUUUGUUUUGUUUUGUUUUGAUUUUUUUUUUUUUUUUUUUUUUUUUUUUGAAAAUACUACAUAUUUUCUCAUCAUAAAUUUGAGUCUGUAACAUAGUUUACCUAUCUUGUGUAGUUUGCAGGUGAAUCGAAUGUAGUGACUGCGGAUUACCUACGUAGUACAACAAAAAAAAAUAUACUACACAGUACAUACAAUUUAUAAAAUUUUGAUAAAGAAAAAAAACAAUGGGGCUUUCUGAUUUUGCAAACAAAUUACUUUCAAUGCUCUAAAAAGCAUAACUAUGCUCAAAUAUUAGACUUUGAUUCUUACAAUAAUCUGUUAAAUCUGGAAAUAUGCUUCUAUGUGGCGAUAUGUUUCUAUCUGCUGGGAGAAUGAUCAAAGCGAGGCAUGGCGUAGAGAUCUUCUCCAUCUCCCUAGCUUCUCUCGCCCCUGCCAUGAAUUCAACGACGACAUUUUAGGAUUCCCGCUGUUUAAGAGCUUAUUUUGCCAAACACUUAUAAAUCUCAGGCAAACACCAUCUAAGCAACAUGCGAACGAGAGAUGCCACACGGAGUCAAUUUACCUUCCGAGGUGCAAUGGCCAACUCAUUCUCUGAAAUACUCGUUGCUUCGAAACCAACGGGAUGCAACGCCUCUUCAUAACUGCGUAGUUAGAAAUAAACAUCUUAUAAGUUGUAGAGAAAAAGGAUAGGUAUUGAAAAUCCGACAAUAUAAAAUACUGGAGCUGAGACGAAGUGGGAAUUACUCGGCAACUGAUACUUUAAACGGAGGGCCGCCCUCAUGAUCAUCGAUCUAACAACAACAAGAAUAUCAAGAAUAUGCAAAAUCAUAAGGAAAGAUAUAGUCUGACAAUGUUAGCCUAGUGAUAGAGUGAUUAAUGUCUGGGGGCAAAGGUCUCAGAUUCAAGUCUUUAAAUAUUCUCGACUAACCGGAUACAUUAGUGUUAUGAGCUCCCCAUCCGGUUUUAGAAGAUCGGAUAUUUUCUUGGUCCCACAAUGAUCUUAGCUCGGGUUCGAUGGCACAGAAAAACCUGUAGAGCUGACGAACAUUAAUGAAAAAUACAGCAUAAGUUCNCGAAUAGUUGUAGGAGGAGAGAACAAAAUAAAGAGAGAGAGAGAGAGGUAGUUAGUUGGCGGUUAAGAAGGCGAAAGAUUUUGGGAAUGUUAGGACAAGGUGGUUUCGUUUUAAAACUGAGACUGUAGUCUAAUAUUUAUUAUAAUUAUAAUUAUUCUGUACUAUAAUUA